rnacentral:rRNA from 1 species
UACGAAGGGGGCUAGCGUUGCUCGGAAUCACUGGGCGUAAAGCGCACGUAGGCGGCUUUCUAAGUCAGGGGUGAAAUCCUGGAGCUCAACUCCAGAACUGCCUUUGAUACUGGAGAGCUUGAGUCCGGAAGAGGUGAGUGGAACUCCGAGUGUAGAGGUGAAAUUCGUAGAUAUUCGGAAGAACACCAGUGGCGAAGGCGGCUCACUGGUCCGGUACUGGACGCUGAGGUGCGAAAGCGUGGGGAGCAACGGG